CCUACGGGUGGCUGCAGUGGGGAAUAUUGGACAAUGGGGGCAACCCUGAUCCAGCCAUGCCGCGUGUGUGAAGAAGGCCCUCGGGUUGUAAAGCACUUUCAGUGAGGAAGAACGCCUGGUGGUUAAUACCCAUCAGGAAAGACAUCACUCACAGAAGAAGCACCGGCUAACUCCGUGCCAGCAGCCGCGGUAAUACGGAGGGUGCGAGCGUUAAUCGGAAUUACUGGGCGUAAAGCGCGCGUAGGUGGCUUGAUAAGCCGGUUGUGAAAGCCCCGGGCUCAACCUGGGAACGGCAUCCGGAACUGUCAAGCUAGAGUGCAGGAGAGGAAGGUAGAAUUCCCGGUGUAGCGGUGAAAUGCGUAGAGAUCGGGAGGAAUACCAGUGGCGAAGGCGGCCUUCUGGACUGACACUGACACUGAGGUGCGAGAGCGUGGGUAGCAAACAGGAUUAGAUACCCGAGUAGUC
rnacentral:rRNA from 1 species